GAUGAACGCUGGCGGCGUGCCUAAUACAUGCAAGUCGAACGAACAGACGAGGCGCUUGCUCCUUCGACGUUAGCGGCGGACGGGUGAGUAACACGUAAAUAACCUACCUAUAAGACUGGGAUAACUUCGGGACACCGGAGCUAGUACCGGAUAAUAUUUCGAUCCUCAUUGUUCGAUAGUAAAAGAUGGCUUUGCUAUCACUUAUAGAUGGACCUGCGCCGUAUUAGCUAGUUGGUAAGGUAACGGCUUACCAAGGCAACGAUACGUAACCGACCUGAGAGGGGGACCGGCCACCCUGGAACGGGGAACCGGUCCAGACUCCUACGGGAGGAAGCAGUAGGGAACUUUCGGAAAGGGGGGAAGGCCGGACGGAGAACGGCCGGGUGGGGGAUGAAGGUCUUCGGACCGUAAAACCCUGUGAUUAGGGAAGAAGAAACGUGGAAUGAACUGUGCACGCCUUGACGGUACCUAAUCAGAAAGCCACGGCUAACUACGUG
rnacentral:rRNA from 1 species